rnacentral:rRNA from 1 species
GAUGAACGCUGGCGGCGUGCCUAAUACAUGCAAGUCGAGCGAACAGACGAGGAGCUUGCUCCUCUGACGUUAGCGGCGGACGGGUGAGUAACACGUGGAUAACCUACCUAUAAGACUGGGAUAACUUCGGGAAACCGGAGCUAAUACCGGAUAAUAUAUUGAACCGCAUGGUUCAAUAGUGAAAGACGGUUUUGCUGUCACUUAUAGAUGGAUCCGCGCCGCAUUAGCUAGUUGGUAAGGUAACGGCUUACCAAGGCAACGAUGCGUAGCCGACCUGAGAGGGUGAUCGGCCACACUGGAACUGAGACACGGUCCAGACUCCUACGGGAGGCAGCAGUAGGGAAUCUUCCGCAAUGGGCGAAGGCCUGACGGAGCAACGCCGCGUGAGUGAUGAAGGUCUUCGGAUCGUAAAACUCUGUUAUUAGGGAAGAAAAAAUGUGUAAGUAACUAUGCACGUCUUGACGGUACCUAAUCAGAAAGCCACGGCUAACUACG